rnacentral:rRNA from 1 species
UACGUAGGGUGCGAGCGUUGUCCGGAUUUACUGGGCGUAAAGAGCUCGUAGGCGGUUUGUCGCGUCUGCCGUGAAAGUCCGGGGCUCAACUCCGGAUCUGCGGUGGGUACGGGCAGACUAGAGUGAUGUAGGGGAGACUGGAAUUCCUGGUGUAGCGGUGAAAUGCGCAGAUAUCUGGAGGAACACCGGUGGCGAAGGCGGCAUCCUGGACCAAUUCUGACACUGAGGAGCGAAAGCCAGGGGAGCAAACGGG